rnacentral:rRNA from 1 species
UAAGGAAUAUUGCGCAAUGGGCGAAACCCUGACGCAGCAACGCCGCGUGGAGGAUGACACUUUUCGGAGCGUAAACUCCUUUUAUCAGGAAAGAAUAAUGACGGUACCUGAUGAAUCAUCACCGCCUAACUCCGUGCCAGCAGCCGCGGUAAUACGGGGUGUGCCAGCGUUACUCGGAAUCACUGGGCGUAAAGGACGCGUAGGCGGAUUAUCAAGUCUUUUGUGAAAUCUAGUGGCUUAACCACUAAACUGCUUAGUAUACUGAUAGUCUAGAGUAGCGGAGAGGUAGAUGGACUCCUUGGUGUAGGAGUAAAAUCCGUAGAGAUCAAGAAGAAUACCCAUUGCGAAAUCGCUCUGCUGGAACCUAACUGACGCUGAGGCGUGAAAGCGUGGGUAGCAAACAGG